rnacentral:rRNA from 1 species
CCUANGGGCGGCUGCAGUAAGGAAUAUUGAUCAAUGGACGCAAGUCUGAACCAGCCAUGCCGCGUGGAGGAUGAAGGUCCUCUGGAUUGUAAACUUCUUUUAUCUGGGAAGAAACCCAUUUUUUCUAAAGUGGUUGACGGUACCAGAUGAAUAAGCACCGGCUAACUCCGUGCCAGCAGCCGCGGUAAUACGGAGGGUGCAAGCGUUAUCCGGAUUCACUGGGUUUAAAGGGUGCGUAGGUGGGCAGGUAAGUCAGUGGUGAAAUCUCCGGGCUUAACCCGGAAACUGCCAUUGAUACUAUUUGUCUUGAAUACCGUGGAGGUUAGCGGAAUAUGUCAUGUAGCGGUGAAAUGCUUAGAUAUGACAUAGAACACCAAUUGCGAAGGCAGCUGGCUACACGAAUAUUGACACUGAUGCACGAAAGCGUGGGGAUCAAACAGGAUUAGAUACCCCUNUANUC